GAUGAACGCUGGCGGUAUGCCUAACACAUGCAAGUCGUACGAGAGUUUUUAACUCUAGUGGCGGACGGGUGAGUAACACGUGAGAAUUUGCCUUUAGGAGGGGGAUAACAAUUGGAAACGAAUGCUAAUACCCCAUAUGCUUUUGAGUGAAAUGGAUUUUAUCCGCCUAGAGAGAAGCUCGCGGCUGAUUAGCUUGUUGGUAAGGUAAGAGCUUACCAAGGCGACGAUCAGUAUCUGGUUUGAGAGGACGAUCAGACACACUGGAACUGAGACACGGUCCAGACUCCUACGGGAGGCAGCAGUGGGGAAUUUUGGACAAUGGGCGAAAGCCUGAUCCAGCCAUGCCGCGUGUGUGAAGAAGGUCUUCGGGUUGUAAAGCUCUUUUGUCAGGGAAGAAACACCGGCUCUAACACAGUCCGGGAAUGACGGUACCUGAAGAAUAAGCACCGGCUAACUACGUG
rnacentral:rRNA from 1 species